UACGUAGGGGGCGAGCGUUGUCCGGAUUUAUUGGGCGUAAAGAGCUCGUAGACGGUUUAGCAAGUCGGGUGUGAAAACGCCGGGCUCAACCCGGAGAGGCCACGCCAUACUGCUAUGACUCGAGUCCGGUAGGGGAGUGCGGAAUUCCUGGUGUAGCGGUGAAAUGCGCAGAUAUCAGGAGGAACACCGGUGGCGAAGGCGGCACUCUGGGCCGGUACUGACGCUGAGGAGCGAAAGCGUGGUGAGCGAACAGG
rnacentral:misc_RNA from 1 species